ACAGGGGGAUAACAGUUGGAAACGGCUGCUAAUACCGCAUAAGCGCACAGCAUCGCAUGAUGCAGUGUGAAAAACUCCGGUGGUAUAAGAUGGACCCGCGUUGGAUUAGCUAGUUGGUGAGGUAACGGCCCACCAAGGCGACGAUCCAUAGCCGACCUGAGAGGGUGACCGGCCACAUUGGGACUGAGACACGGCCCAAACUCCUACGGGAGGCAGCAGUGGGGAAUAUUGCACAAUGGGCGAAAGCCUGAUGCAGCGACGCCGCGUGAGCGAAGAAGUAUUUCGGUAUGUAAAGCUCUAUCAGCGGGGAAGAUAAUGACGGUACCUGACUAAGAAGCACCGGCUAAAUACGUGCCAGCAGCCGCGGUAAUACGUAUGGUGCAAGCGUUAUCCGGAUUUACUGGGUGUAAAGGGAGCGCAGGCGGUGCGGCAAGUCUGAUGUGAAAGCCCGGGGCUCAACCCCGGUACUGCAUUGGAAACUGUCGUACUAGAGUGUCGGAGGGGUAAGCGGAAUUCCUAGUGUAGCGGUGAAAUGCGUAGAUAUUAGGAGGAACACCAGUGGCGAAGGCGGCUUACUGGACGAUAACUGACGCUGAGGCUCGAAAGCGUGGGGAGCAAACAGGAUUAGAUACCCUGGUAGUCCACGCCGUAAACGA
rnacentral:rRNA from 1 species